rnacentral:misc_RNA from 1 species
GAUGAAGAACGUAGUGAAAUGCGAUAACUAGUGUGAAUUGCAGAAUUCCGUGAAUCAUCGAGUCUUUGAACGCACAUUGCGCCCCCUGGUAUUCCGGGGGGCAUGCCUGUCCGAGCGUCAUUGCUGCCCAUCAAGCACGGCUUGUGUGUUGGGUCGUCGUCCCCUCUCCGGGGGGGACGGGCCCCAAAGGCAGCGGCGGCACCGCGUCCGAUCCUCGAGCGUAUGGGGCUUUGUCACCCGCUCUGUAGGCCCGGCCGGCGCUUGCCGAACGCAAAUCAAUCUUUUUCCAGGUUGACCUCGGAUCAGGUAGGGGUACCCGCUGAACUUAAGCAUAUCAAUAAGCGGAGGA